rnacentral:rRNA from 1 species
AACGCGAAGAACCUUACCAGGUCUUGACAUCCCACGAAUUCAUCUGAAGGAUGGAGUGCCUUCGGGAGCGUGGAGACAGGUGGUGCAUGGUUGUCGUCAGCUCGUGUCGUGGAGAUGUGGUUAAGUCCGCAACGAGCGCAACCCUUGCUAUUAGUUGCUAACAGGCAGAGCUGAGCACUCUAAUGGGACUGCCGGUGACAAGCCGGAGGAAGGUGGGGAUGACGUCAAAUCAUCAUGCCCUUUAUGACCUGGGCUACACACGUGCUACAAUGGAUGGUACAGAGAGCAGCGAGGCAGCGAUGUGGAGCGAAUCUCAAAAAGCCAUUCUCAGUUCGGAUUGGAGUCUGCAACUCGACUCCAUGAAGUCGGAAUCGCUAGUAAUCGCGAAUCAGCAUGUCGCGGUGAAUGCGUUCCCGGGCCUU